GGAUCUAAAAGAAUCAGAGAAAACCUCGAAGGGUUAGGGUUUUAGAAGAACCCAUGUAGUGAGAAAGGCUUGGAAGCGUCACUGAUCUGAGCCGGAGAAGUCGAGAUCAGGCUCGAAUGACCAUGGCUGGCCGGAUCAAGGUAGGAAUGGCCAUAGAACUCGAGUCAAACAAGGUUUGGGCAAAGCUUUUCCAUGGAAAGGCCAUGAAACUACAAUAACCAAGCAUGCAAGAGCUAUAGGAGGCUAGUGUAUGACUUCAACGGCCCUGGAAGCCAUGGAUUCCGAUGGUUUUAGGGCAGAAGUGGAAGGAGGUGGCUAGGGCUUCUAAGAGAGACUGAGAUAGAGUUUGAGAGAAAGAGGGAUUCAAAGGCAGCUGGGGAUGCAAAAAU
rnacentral:lncRNA from 1 species